rnacentral:rRNA from 1 species
UACGUAGGGUGCAAGCGUUGUCCGGAAUUAUUGGGCGUAAAGAGCUCGUAGGCGGUUUGUCGCGUCUGCUGUGAAAACCCGGGGCUUAACCCCGGGCCUGCAGUGGGUACGGGCAGACUAGAGGUAGGUAGGGGAGAAUGGAAUUCCCGGUGUAGCGGUGAAAUGCGCAGAUAUCGGGAGGAACACCGGUGGCGAAGGCGGUUCUCUGGGCCGUACCUGACGCUGAGGAGCGAAAGCGUGGGGAGCGAACAGG